rnacentral:lncRNA from 1 species
CCUCAUAUCAAGAAGGGAAUUGUUUAAAUUCCAAUUGUUAACCUUACAAUUAUCUGAAGAAGAAAUCUAAUAUAUGUUUGCAGGUAUUUGAUAAGGAUGGAAAUGACAUCACUCCUCAACCACUGUACCCAGUGAGGCACUCAGCUGCUGCAGUUCAAUGCCACAAGUUUUCCAGGUUCCUGGAUGAGAUAUCUGUGGGAGCAGCGUCCGAGACGUCGGGAGACAGCAUCUGCUCCAUACCUUUCUCCCGGUCAGCAGGAAGCAACCUGUCAAUACUGGCAUCCACCAGCCUAAUGACUGAUGGUCCACUUUCAAAACGACCCAUUCCCACAUAUUUCCAAGGUCUGGGGCAGAACACAGACACAGUGAUAGAAGAUGUGACAGAAGACAUGUUAAAAGAGAAGAUUUACGUGAAUAUCACAGAGACAGACUGUAUUACAGUGCUAGAUAUACGCAGCGCCUGUGUGUCUGUGGAUUCUGAUGAUGCACCAGGUGUUCUGUGA